UACGUAGGGUGCAAGCGUUGUCCGGAAUUAUUGGGCGUAAAGAGCGUGUAGGCGGCUAGGUAGGUGGGUUGUGAAAACUGGAGGCUCAACCUUCAGACGUCGACCCAAACCCCUGGCUAGAGUCCGGAAGAGGAGAGUGGAAUUCCUGGUGUAGCGGUGAAUGCGCAGAUAUCAGGAAGAACACCCGUGGCGAAGGCGGCUCUCUGGGACGGUACUGACGCUGAGACGCGAAAGCGUGGGAGCGAACAGG
rnacentral:rRNA from 1 species